CAUGGCUGUCGUCAGCUCGUGUCGUGAGAUGUUGGGUUAAGUCCCGCAACGAGCGCAACCCUUGCCAUUAGUUGCCAUCAUUAAGUUGGGCACUCUAAUGGGACUGCCGGUGACAAACCGGAGGAAGGUGGGGAUGACGUCAAGUCCUCAUGGCCCUUAUGACCAGGGCUUCACACGUCAUCCAAUGGUCGGUACAGAGGGUCGCGAAGCCGCGAGGUGGAGCCGAUCUCAUAAAACCGAUCGUAGUCCGGAUCGCACUCUGCAACUCGAGUGCGUGAAGUCGGUAUCGCUAGUAAUCGCAGAUCAGCAU
rnacentral:rRNA from 1 species